GGGUAGAAGGGUAACUGGUGUGCCUCCUGGUCUUCAAAACCAGUGUGAGCAGGUAAUGCUGCUCGGGUGGGUUCGAUUCCCACCUGCUCCC
rnacentral:tRNA from 1 species